rnacentral:lncRNA from 1 species
CAAGCUCCCUCUCUUGCCUGCCACCAUGUAAGAAGUCCCUUUGGUCUUCCUUUGUCUUCUGCCGUGAUUGUGAGGCCUCCCCAGCCAUGUGGAACUGUGAGUCCAUUAAUCUCUUGCCUUUAUAAAUUACCCAGUCUCAGAUAUGUCUUUAAUAGCAGUGUGAGAACAGACUAAUACGAAGCCCUAGUGGAAACAAUAGACAACAUGAAGGCACAGGUGGGUAAUGUAAGCACAGAGAUGAAAACCCUAAGAAAGAAUCAAAAGGAAAUGCUAGAAAUAAAAAAACAUUGUGACAGAAAUGAAGAAAUGAAGAAUGUAUUUAAAGGCUCAUCAGCAGGUUGGAAAUGUCUGGGGAAAGAAUUAAUGAGCUUGGUGAUAGGUCAACAGAAACUUUCCAAACUGGAAGGCAAAGAGAAAAAAAGAAUGGGAAAAAUAACGAAAUAUCCAAGAAGUGUAUAAUCAUUACAAAAGGUGUAACAUAUACAUAAUGGGAAUACUAAAAGGAAAAGAAAGAGAAAGAAGAACAGAAGAAAUAUUUGAAGUAAUAAUAGCUCAGAAUUUUCUGAAAUUAUUGAAACACAUCAAAACACAGAUCCAGGAAGGUUAGACAACACCAAGCAAGACAAAUCCAAAAAAUCGACAUCUAGGCAUUUCACAUUCAAACUGCAGAAAAUCAAAAGCUAAGAGAAAAUCUUGAAAGAAAUGAGAGAGUUGGGGGAAGCAUUACCUAUAAAGCAACAAGGAUAAGAAUUACAUCAGACUUCUCAUCGGGGACCAUGCAAGCAAGAAGAGAAUAAAGUGAAAUAUUGAAAGUGUUGAAAGAAAAAUAAAGAAAAACACAAGCUUAAAAUUCUUCAUCCAGUGAAGUUAUCCUUCUAAAGUGAAGAAGGAAAAAAAGACUUUCUCAGACAAAAACUGAGGUAAUUUGUUGCCAGUAGACUUGCCUUGCACGAAAUACUCAAAUAAGUUCCUCAGAGAGAAGGAAAUUGAUAUAGGUCAGAAAUUCAGAUCUGAUCUGAAGCAUCAACUGGAAGCUUGUUAGAAAUGUAGAAUCUCAGAUCUCACCCCAGAAUGGACUAUGGACUCAGAAUCUGCAUUUUAAUAAGAUUCACAAUUCACAGUAUAAAAUAAUAAGAUGGCUGAUCCUGCAAAGAGGCGCGGUGACAUCAACAGUGACUCAGUCUCUAUGAUGGUAUUAGUAACUGGCAGCUGACUCUCCUAUUUAUCAUCAAGUUAUGUUCCAAAUAAGACUUUCAAGUCUGAGAAAAAUGACAAAUCCCUUCCAGGCAUGGUUCAAGUUAAAGCUGAAACUGUGUCUUCGUUUCAGCUCAAGAGAGGUUUUGAUUGUGUCGUGGCUUUUCCUUGUGUAUUGGUUGAGGAACUGUGCCUUGGAGGGGCGGGGAGUCUUGAGAAUGGGUCAACUGAUGGAGGGGGAGUGGAAGACAUUGGUUGCCCAAGAAAAUAUGUCAACAUCUGUCCAUCACUGCAACUCCGGCCUGAUUAUCAUUUUUUCUGCUUCUGUAAGCACCAAUGAGACAAUGCCACUGAACCACAUUCUUUGUUGCCUGCAGUAUUUCCCACCACUGCGCCACCUCUGAUAUGCUAAUGAGGAAGCCCAGGGUUUUGUGUGGCUGAAAAGCCUUUCAGGCACAAUCAGUGGGUCAACAAUCUCAACUCUGUACAGCGGCUCAGCCUGCUCUGUGAGAGGCUCCUCUUUCGGAGGGGUCCUUCCUCACACCUUUUCUGUGAGUGCGUCUGUGCUUAAGGAAGGGCAAUUAACCAUCUGGCUGCUUGUCCCCUGGAGAAAUUGACAGAACAUCAAACAGAAUAAACUCAUACCUUGAAAACUGCCAAGUGGCACAUGACUGUCCGGUUCACUGUGGGGAGAAGCCACUAACCAAUGGUCUGAAUCUAAAAAUGACCCAGUGGCACCGGUUUGUAGUAAAACUUUGAAGAUAGAACUCCAUGCAAAUUCUGACUCCAUAGUGCUGGUUCUUGAUGUAAAUCUCCCAAUGUAACUGUCAAGGUUUAAAAAUAUCUUACGUAGGUGUUCAGAAUCAUAAGGUCAUAGAAUUAUAAAAUGUUAACCGGCAGAAGUAUUUUCAUCUUUGUCAUACGAAAAAGAGUAAUUUGCUCAUAAUAAGCCUUCAAUAUUUAUGUAUUGGAUUGCAAUUAACAGGAAUCAAAGGAAUCUUAUAAGGAUCAUUUAUCUAGAAUAAUCUCUAUUUUCUAGAAUUACUUAAUGAUCAUUGUCUUUAUUCAGCCUAAGUAACAUUGAAAUUUUUCUUCAUUCAAAUAAAUUCAUACUCAUGAAGCCUUUCCCCACUUUUCAUUUCAUAUUCUGUUUCUACUAGUAUUGUUAACCAUUGCAAAGAAAUACUGUUGCCCUCCAUUAAAACCUGAACUGCCU